UGGGGAAUUUUGGACAAUGGGGGCAACCCUGAUCCAGCCAUCCCGCGUGUGCGAUGAAGGCCUUCGGGUUGUAAAGCACUUUUGGCAGGGAAGAAACAGCCUGGGCUAAUAUCCCGGGCGACUGACGGUACCUGCAGAAUAAGCACCGGCUAACUACGUGCCAGCAGCCGCGGUAAUACGCAGGGUGCAAGCGUUAAUCGGAAUUACUGGGCGUAAAGCGUGCGCAGGCGGUUCGGAAAGAAAGGUGUGAAAUCCCAGGGCUUAACCUUGGAACUGCACUUUUAACUACCGGGCUAGAGUACGUCAGAGGGGGGUAGAAUUCCACGUGUAGCAGUGAAAUGCGUAGAGAUGUGGAGGAAUACCGAUGGCGAAGGCAGCCCCCUGGGAUGAUACUGACGCUCAUGCACGAAAGCGUGGGGAGCAAACA
rnacentral:rRNA from 1 species